rnacentral:rRNA from 1 species
UACGGGGGGGGCAAGCGUUGUUCGGAAUUACUGGGCGGAAAGGGCUCGUAGGCGGCCAACUAAGUCAGACGUGAAAUCCCUCGGCUUAACUGGGGAACUGCGUCUGAUACUGGAUGGCUCGAGUUUGGGAGAGGGAUGCGGAAUUCCAGGUGUAGCGGUGAAAUGCGUAGAUAUCUGGAGGAACACCGGUGGCGAAGGCGGCAUCCUGGACCAACACUGACGCUGAUGAGCGAAAGCCAGGGGAGCAAACGGG